UUCUGUGACAGUGUUGACCAUGUGCCUGAGCUGGCAUAUGGCCAGGUCAUUGCUGCUGUUCCUGUACUGCUGUAGCAGGCAUGCUGUAACUCCAAUCUGAACUCCAGUUGAAGGGACUGUGACCUGUAAGUAACUCCAUGCUGGAGCAGAUACACCCCAAAGUGUCUGUGGCUAGAUCUACAGUGGAACAGUGUGACAACAGGUUCUCUGUACACAGAUAAUGUUUUUCAGCCAUUGACCUUUCUGAGUCGUUUUCCUGCUUACUUUGGCUUCCUGCAACCCUACCACUGAUGCAAAUGCUAGGAUCUCAUAAAAAACCUAUGAACAAAGUACAUACACACUUGAAGCAGGAGUAAGAGCCUUUUAGUCGCAGUUGGGGAGGCUGAGGAACGAAGCCCAGAGGCAGAUAUCAGCAAAAUGGAGCUUCAGGAUCAUAUCAUCAAGCAUCAAAGCGGACAUUUGGAUGAGGUGUAUUUAAACCCAACAACCUAUGUGAAGAAAAAAACCCUCCUGAAAUACAAAGCCAUCUGCGCUGUUCUGCUGUGUGCUUUGGUGGUUGUAUCCCUGGGACUAGGUUUGGGACUAGGACUGAACCGUGGAGGUCAGGAACAAGUCAGCUGCAGACACAAGUGCAAUGAGCCAUACAGGAAAGGGAUGCCCGGCUGCCACUGCGACAGCGGCUGCAGUGAGCGACACGACUGCUGCUGGGACUACGAGGACACCUGCGUGGAGCCAACCCGAUCUUGGAUGUGCACUAAUUUCCGUUGUGGUGAGACACGGAUCCCUGGAAGUUACUGUUCCUGUUCUGAUGACUGCUUGCAGGAAAAAGACUGCUGUGUAAACUACAACAGCAUUUGCAAAGGUGAAAUACCUUGGGUAGAAGAACCAUGUGAACCACUUGAAACUCCUCAGUGUCCAGCUGGGUUUGAUCUGCCACCACUUAUCCUUUUUUCAAUGGAUGGGUUUAGAGCUGAAUACUUGCAAACUUGGAGUUCUUUGCUGCCAAAUAUUGAAAAACUCAAAACAUGUGGCACACAUUCAAAAUACAUGAGAGCUGCUUACCCCACAAAAACUUUUCCAAACCACUAUACUAUUGUCACAGGAUUGUAUCCGGAAUCUCAUGGUAUUAUUGAUAACAGCAUAUAUGAUGUAGACUUGAACAAGCAUUUCUCACUUUCGUCAACAGAAAAAUUCAACCCUUCAUGGUGGAAGGGGCAGCCGGUCUGGCUGACAGCAAUGUACCAAAAUUUGAAAGCAGGUACCUUCUUUUGGCCAGGCUCUGAUGUUCCAAUUAAUGGAACAUACCCCACCUUCUACACUGUAUACGAUGAUUCAGUUACAUAUGAACAGAGAAUUUCAGGAGUAUUGAAAUGGCUUGAUUACACCAAAUCUGAGAGGCCUGAUUUCUACACUUUGUAUAUUGAAGAACCGGAUUCUUCUGGACAUUCAUUUGGACCAGUUAGUGCUGGUGUACUUAAAGCCCUUCAGCUAGCAGAUCAAGCACUGGGGAUGCUAAUGGAAGGACUUAAGCAAAGAAACCUGCACAAAUGUGUAAACCUCAUUGUUUUAGCUGAUCAUGGGAUGGAGUCAACUUACUGCACACAGUUAGAAUAUAUGACUAAUUACUUCGAGCAGAUUGAUUUCUACAUAUAUGCUGGGCCUGCAGCUCGCAUUCGAGCGAGAAAUGUUCCGGAGGACUAUUAUACCUUUGACUCAGAAGGAAUUGUUAAAAACCUCACAUGCAAAAAAUCCCCCCAGCACUUCAAGCCUUAUCUGACUCCUGACUUGCCAAAGCGACUCCACUAUGCUAACAACAUUCGUAUUGAUAAAGUUCAUCUUUUGGUGGAUCGACAGUGGCUGGCUGUGAGGGACAGAAGUUACACAUAUUGUGAUGGGGGUAACCAUGGUUAUAACAACCAAUUUAAAAGUAUGCAGGCUAUAUUCUUAGCAUAUGGCCCAAGCUUUAAAGACCAAACAGAAGUGGAUGCUUUUGAAAAUAUCGAGGUUUACAACCUUCUGUGUGAUUUGCUGCGUAUAACACCAGCACCAAAUAAUGGAACACAUGGCAGUUUGAACCACCUCUUAAAAAACCCUUUUUACAAUCCUUCAUAUGCAAAAGAAGUCUCAUCUCCUUCUUCAUGCCCAGUUUCCCGUUUGACUCCUAUAGAUGAACUGGGAUGCACAUGUAUGCAUGUAUCAAAUGUUUCAGUGCUAAAUGAGAGGUUAAAUCUCACUACAGAAGAAAUUAGGGAGGCAAACUCAUAUCAUUUGCCAUAUGGAAGACCCAUAGUUCUGCAGAAAGAAAAUGUCUACUGCCUCCUUUCCCAUCAUCGGUAUGUGAGUGGAUACAGCUAUGAUAUCUGGAUGCCACUGUGGACUGCAUACACUGUGGAUAAGCCUGAAAACACAUCUCCUCUUCCUCCCACUGUUUCAGACUGUCUGCGGGCUGAUGUUAGAAUCCCUGUUGCUCGGAGCCAAAAUUGUUCCAACUACCCAGAAGGGCUGACCUUCACCCGCAGUUUCCUCUAUCCUCCCAACUUCAAUUCAUCUGUUCUUGAACAGUAUGAUGCCUUACUCACCAGCAAUAUUGUUCCCAUGUAUAGAGCUUUCAGAGGUGUCAAGAGAAGACAGGACAAAGUCUGUUAACAAUGCCCUGACACAGUGCCUGUUUCAUCAAGGAGAAACUCAAACCAAACAAUAUUAAUCUUGGAAUAUUCAUUUCAGGCAGAUGUUUCUAUUAUACAAGUGCAGUAAGCUCAUUUUCUUAGACAAAAUAUAGAAAGAAGAAAUGCUUAUGGAAAAAGCUGGAGGAAAAGCAAUGAUGUAACUACCUUUCUAAUGCAUCAUUUAUUCUUUCACUCAUGUCCUUUAAAAAAACAGAGAUCCAGAAAACUUAAGUGGCUUUAAUCUUCAAAGUAAAUCAAAAAAAGACAUGAAAAAUCCAAUUUUCCAAGGAAAAUUGUACAAGAGAUAUAAACUUAGAAGAAGUUACUCUAGACUAUAAGCAAGAGAGCUAUGGGACUAUUUCCAUAAUGUGCUUCUUCAGGAGUAUGCUAGAGAAAGGAAUGGAGUAAACGUUAUCAGUGGACCAGUGUUUGAUUACAAUUAUGAUGGCCAUUUUGAUACUUUUGAUGAAAUUAAACAGCAUGUAAACAACACAGAAAUCCCUGUCCCAACCCAUUACUUUGUGGUUCUGACUAGCUGCAAGAACAGGUCCUAUACUCCACUGGACUGCUCAGGCUCCUUGGAUGCUCUGUCUUUUAUCAUUCCUCAUCGACCUGACAACACUGAAAGCUGUGCUGAAAAUAAGACACUGUCUGAAUGGGUUGAAGAAAGAGUUCAGGCUCAUUCUGCCCGUGUUCAGGAUGUGGAGCUGCUAACUGGGCUUGACUUUUACCAGGAAAGAGAGGAACCCGUCUCUGAGAUCUUGCAGCUAAAGACAUUUUUGCCGACAUUUGAGACUGAAAGUAACUGAGUAUCUGUUAAAAAAAGUGUCAGUGUAUGGAAGAAAGCAAAUUUAAGUGAUUUAACUUAACUUUCCUUGCUAAAGUAAGUAGGAAACAUGACUACAGCUCUUCUAUAGGAAAAUACAUUUAGAAGAGACAAUUUCUCUUUUCGAAUUUGUGUGCUGCAGUCAAGUGUUUUGUGUGAACUGCAUAAAAAUUACCUAAAGUAAAUUAAAUCAUCAUUGCUGAGCCAGGCUAUCAAAACAGAGAAUAUUUUACUAGUAGUGGUUUGUAAAAACUUCCAAAAGGAAUAUGUUUCAUAGUAGAGAGACCCCAGAAUUGUAAACUGUAUAGAAAAUAUUUCUGUAAUGAUUUGGAAACUGAAACAGUUUGAGAGAGUGUGUGUUUUUUCCCCAUUUUGUUUAUCAGAAAGGUUAUGGUUAUCUAAUACAAGUAUGUUCUGAAAUGUUCUGAAUUUCUCUUUCUCACCUAUUGAUUCACAUGGAAACUGCUAUGUACUUAGAAAAACAUAUUCAGACUCACAAAAAGUUUGUAUAUAGUGGAAGUGUCUUCCGUGAUCAUCCCCUGUGUUUUCCACUUGGGUUAAUUCAUUAUGCUAGUCACAAGUGAAGUGAAGUUAGAGAAAAUGAGUUGUAUUUUGUACCCUUCAUAAAUCGUAAAGCAUUCUGAACAUGAGAAGGUAAAAUAAAUGCUCUAGCCAGAAGAA